CUCUACAGCCAUGUGACCCUGAAUGCACCCAACCUCAUCUGAUCUUGGAAGCUAAACAGGGUCAGGCUUGGUUAAUACUUGGAUGGGAGA
rnacentral:rRNA from 10 species